UUUUAUCAUGUCAAUUUAUAGUCGUGGUAUGGUCAUUUCGCUAAUUCGUGUUUGCGGUCAGUUAAGAUGUUUAACUGAUAAAUUCAUUUGGAAAUUGAACUACAAUUAAAUACGUUUUUCAAUUGCAAACGAAUCGGGGAACGGAGUGGCGCGCGCUCAGUUAUUCCCAAACCCUUUGUGACGCGGUGAAUAAAGAACGUUGUAAACGUUCCUUCCGUACUGCUGACACAGGUCUACAAACACGCUCCCCAAAAGUUCCAACAGGUGUCAUCGGGGAUGGUGAUGAGGACAGACGUGUGAAGGGCGUGCUCAAAGCCUACUGUCCUCCACCGUCCUCAUGGCUGAAGAGAUCAGGAGAAUAGCUGCUCUGCUAGAUCAGCCUCUGAGUGAGAGAGACCACGAACUCAUCACUUACGUCAAGCACAAGUUUGCCACAGACUUCAAAAAAGACCACAGUUACUUCCCUGAGAAGGUUGUUACCCGCAGUGACACACAGUAUGGCCUCAUACAAAAUGGCCAGGCCAGGAAGAACUACUACAGGAGACAGGAGCUGCUCAGUAAAGGCUUUUUCUCCCCUGUCAACAAACCAUACAAAACAGUGGGAAGACUUUACUCUGACAACGUUGAUCUCUUCUCAACCUGGCUCACAUCAGAGGACCAAAAGUCACUGAAGACACAGUGGGACAAGAAGUUUGGAAAAAAUACAGUGAUCUCCAGCAAAUUCACUCAGGAGAAGACUAAAAAGGAGGAGAACAUCAGAGCCCCUCCAGUGGAGAACCUGAAUGGUUUCCUCCAGCUGAAGCAGUACAUGAGAGAGAUGGUCUCCAUCAGACGUGCUCUCCACACUGGGCGCCCCCUCAUAUAUUGCCUCAGAGACCAGGAUAAACCGUUAUUGCUAAUGAAGAAACCUGUGCCUCCCAAAACACCAUGUGACCGAGCCAUAUCAGCUGAUAAAGAGACUGUACCACCACUGUCCAUGUCCAUGAACCAACAGGCACUGGACCCAGAGGAAGAGGAGAACCUACAGAGGAUACAGUACAGGAAGCAGAAGCUGUUCUCAGAGAAACUGCAGUGGAUUUACAUGGUCCUGUGUGGCAUCUCUCACAUGCGAAACAGAGAUCUGAAGACACUGGUUCCUCUCAACAGCAGCUAUGUGAACAUCAUCAUGAAGGACACAGAGAAGACCAACAUCCUGCUGAAGCAGUCGCACAGCUACAACCCUCCGUUGAAUUACACCAGGCAGCUGGUGUCCCUGGCCCCAGAGGACUGUCACAGCAUCAGCCGUGACGUGUGGGACACCUUCAUCAGUCACCAGGACACCACAGAGCCCUCGAAGUUAACCACCACCCGAACCACAGGAUAUAAAGCUCUGCAGUCGGGGCCCAGGCGCAAGGUGCCAGACGGAGAUGGAUACAUGCCCCCAUGGCUGCUACUGCUGCUGGAUGAGAACACGUCCCUAGAGAAGAAAACAGUAAAGCCUGGUGUAGACCAGUCAGGCAUGCUGGAGAGAGCCAAGGAGCAUUACCGGGAUGUGAAGAAGGUUCUGAACAUUCCAAUGGAGUCAGUAGUGUUUGAAAAGAGAAAGAACCGAGAGGAGAGGAUGAGAACUCUUUUCAAUGCUCUAAUGGCCUCAAAGUCCGACGCUGGUCUGUCCUCACUCCUUACCUCUCUGAAGAGUGGGCUGAAGGAGCCCAAAUCCACCACUGGUCUCUGGUUUGCGACACUGCAGAGUGAUGCCACAGAAUUGUCUGGAGACAGAGACUCCCAAUACAACGUCAUACUGCAGAAGAUCUCAGAGUUUCAAAGCUUCUCCAACAAAAAGCUCCCCUACUCCAAGGAGAAGUUCUGUCUCCUGGUCCUCUCCAUGUCACCCAAUCAGCUGCUUCGACCGGCCAUGCAGGAAGCACUGCUCUUCCUCACGGAGAACGUGCUGCUGUUGUUGCCGCGGCAACUCAAACAGUGGUACCAGUACCUGAAGCUCCCCUUCCCCACCACGGCAACCGCCUCCUGA
ensembl:lncRNA